rnacentral:tRNA from 1 species
AGUCUUAUAUUCAAUAGUAUUUGAUUAUAGAAUGCAAUUCUAUAGGAGUGGUUAAAUUUCAAAUCACUAAGGCUU